rfam:Gossypium raimondii Chr02_contig_240, whole genome shotgun sequence.
CACGUCAGCGCGAGAUGUUGACAUGGAAACAAAUCGCUUCCUCAAGGAUGCGAUUUGCUGCCACGUCAGCAUCUCGCGUUGACGUGG